rnacentral:rRNA from 1 species
ACAGAGGGUGCGAGCGUUAAUCGGAAUUACUGGGCGUAAAGCGUGCGUAGACGGUUAUUUAAGUCGGGUGUGAAAGCCCCGGGCUCAACCUGGGAAUUGCAUUCGAGACUGAAUAGCUAGGGUACGGUAGAGGGAAGCGGAAUUUCCGGUGUAGAGGUGAAAUUCGUAGAUAUCGGAAGGAACACCAGUGGCGAAGGCGGCCGUCUGGACGAUGACUGACGCUGAGAUGCGAAAGCGUGGGGAGCAAACAGGA